rnacentral:lncRNA from 1 species
AGAGCUGAUGAGUUACUCAUUUGCCCUAGGACAGGGCUACGUGACAAGCAAUGCUUAACUGAGAGAGGAGAGAAAACACCAUAGAAGAGAUUUGGAGUAAGAAGUCCUGGGUGCAGCAGAAGGAAGGGGAAGAAAAAGAGUUGAAAUUUCUGGUGAAAGGGGAAAGGUUUUCUUUUGGGGCCCAGCUUGGGUAGGAUUAAGGGCUAACUGAGGACUGAGAGAUUAGGAAAAAAAAAGGAUGUUUCCUAAAACAUCAUGGCAGUGCUAAUGGAGACAAGAAGAAAGGUUCGAAACUGGAGAGUUAAAAAUGGGAGGAAAUUGUGAUGAAGUGAAUGCGGGGCUUGAGGAAGGGAGGCAUCUAG